AGUCGAGCGAUGAAGUUUCUUCGGAAAUGGAUUAGCGGCGAACGGGUGAGGAACACGUGAAGAAUCUGCCCUCCACUUUGGGAUAACACCGGGAAACCGGUGCUAAUACCGAAUAUUGAAACAUAAGUGGCAUCACUGAGUUUUGAAAGAAUUUCGGUGGAGGAUGACUUCGCGGCCUAUCAGCUAGUUGGUGAGGUAAUGGCUCACCAAGGCAACGACGGGUAGCCGGCCUGAGAGGGCGACCGGCCACACUGGGACUGAGACACGGCCCAGACUCCUACGGGAGGCAGCAGUGGGGAAUAUUGGGCAAUGGAGGAAACUCUGACCCAGCGACGCCGCGUGCGGGAUGAAGGCCUUCGGGUUGUAAACCGCUUUCAGUAGGGAAGAAGCGAAAGUGACGGUACCUACAAAAGAAGCACCGGCUAACUAUGUGCCAGCAGCCGCGGUAAUACAUAGGGUGCAAGCGUUGUCCGGAAUUAUUGGGCGUAAAGAGCUCGUAGGUCGUUUGUUACGUCGGAUGUGAAAACCUGAGGCUCAACCUCAGGCCUGCAUUCGAUACGGGCAAACUAGAGUUUGGUAGGGGAGACUGGAAUUCCUGGUGUAGCGGUGGAAUGCGCAGAUAUCAGGAGGAACACCAAUGGCGAAGGCAGGUCUCUGGGCCAAUACUGACACUGAGGAGCGAAAGUCUGGGGAGCGAACAGGAUUAGAUACCCUGGUAGUCCAGACCGUAAACGGUGGGCACUAGUUGUGGGAACCUUCCACGGUUUCUGCGACGCAGCUAACGCAUUAAGUGCCCCGCCUGGGGAGUACGAUCGCAAGAUUAAAACUCAAAGGAAUUGACGGGGCCCCGCACAAGCAGCGGA
rnacentral:rRNA from 1 species